AUUUAAGUAGUUUAAUUAAAACAUUGAUUUGUGGAGUCAUUAAUAUAAAAUAAAUUUAUCUUAAAUA
rnacentral:tRNA from 1 species